UGCGGAAGGACCUGGCGAGUGGCGACUGUGCGAGACCAGCAGUGGGUGGGACGCUGGUGUGGACUGGUGCUCUGACUAAGGCUGUCUCUGCCUUGUCUCCGCCCCACUCGAGGCUCCUGGCCGGCGUCCCUCACAGGGAGCACAGAGCUGGGUCCCAGCUGCUCUACCUCCGCCGCGGCUGUUACUUAGGCAACCCCAUCCACAUCACCCUGCACUGGAGAUUACUCUUCAGCUCCCUUGACCAGGGCUGUUGCAGCUCUAUUCUAGCUGUUGCUCACUCCUUGCCCAGCUGCUGUUUGAUCCUGCUCAGUUCUACCAAGUGAACUCUGACGUCUAAAGUCUCCUACAAAGUCUGUGGUCAGCAAAAUAUUUGAGAAUUACUGAAUCCUAACAAUUGUACCUGGCAGUCAACUUGGACACUCAUGUGGGCCUCCCCUCGUCCUGGGAAGGUAUCUGAAGUGUUAGGGUCAAGGUGCCCUCCUGACAUUGCUGCCCAGGAACCAGAGCCUGGAGAGAAAUAGAUAAUUCUGCAUUCUGAGCUCUCAGAGGAGAGGUGUGUAUGCAGAAGAGGAAAGGCUGAGUAUUAGCCCCUGACCAAGCUAUCUUAAGCCUGUUCCUUGUGGUCUUACGGAACUUUUAUUCAUUUGUUAACUUAUUCAUUUAAACAUCCUUUCAUUCAAUCGUUCAACAAACA